CGACCGGCGCACGGGUGAGUAACACGUAUGCAACCUGGCCGUCACAGGUGGAUAACCGGAAGAAAUUCCGACUAAUACAGCAUAACACUCCUGAGGGACAUCCCUUGGGAGUCAAAGGAGGCAACUCCGGUGACGGAUGGGCAUGCGGCGCAUUAGGUAGUUGGUAGGGUAACGGCCUACCAAGCCGACGAUGCGUAGGGGUUCUGAGAGGAAGGUCCCCCACAUUGGAACUGAGACACGGACCAGACUCCUACGGGAGGCAGCAG
rnacentral:rRNA from 1 species